rnacentral:rRNA from 1 species
UAAAUAUUAAAGAAAUUUAGAUUUAAUUAUUAAUUUAAGUAUAAACAAAAUAUGUGCCAGCAGUUGCGGUUAAACAUAAUAUACAAAUAAAAUAGGUUGGUUAUUAGUAUAUAAAUAUAAAUUAUAAUUUAAUUUUUUUUAAAAAAGUAAAAUUUAAUUAAAUAUUAUUAUUAUAAUUAUUUUAUUCUAUUAAAUUUUAUUUAAAACUAGGAUUAGAUACCCUAUUAUAAAAAUUUAAAUUAAUUUACUAAAAAAUUAAUAGUUAUGUUCUUUAAAUUUAAAAAAUUUGGCGGUAUUUUAGUCUUAUUAGAGGAACCUGUUUAUUAAUUGAUAAUCCACGAUUAAUUUUACUUAUUUUAAUUAAUUCAUAUAUCGCUGUCAUGAAUAUAUUUAAAAAUUUAUUUUCUUUUUUUAUUUUUAUAAUUUAUGUUAAGUCAAGAUGUGGUUUAUAAAUAAGAAUAUAAUGGGUUACAAUAAAUUUAAAUUUUGGAUUUUAAAUGAAAAUUAAAAUGAAAUUGGAUUUAAUAGUAAAUUUAUUUAUUUUAUUAAUAUGAAUAAAGAUCUAAAAUAUGUACAUAUUGCCCGUCAUUCUUAUUAAAAAUAAGACAAGUCGUAACAAAGUAAAUGUACUGGAAAGUGUAUUUAGAAAG